rnacentral:rRNA from 1 species
AUGUCUGAUCACAACUGUACCAUUCUGAACUGGAACGUCCGUGGUCUCAACAACCCGGCCCGUCGCCAGAUUGUUCGCAACAUGUGCUCUCAAAAUCGUGCCUCUGUGGUAUGCCUUCAGGAAACUAAGCUCUCCGCUGUGGAUCGUCCGUUGAUCCUUGACCUCCUCGGUUCUGAGUUUGCGGAUUCCUUUUGUUUCUUACCCGCUGAUGGCACGCGAGGUGGCAUCAUCUUGGCUUUCUCUGCUGACCACUUCACCAUUACUAACUCCAGUUCUUCCACAAACACCAUCUCGGCUUCUGUCUCUAUGCGUGCCUCCCUCGCCUCCUGGAGCAUCUCGGUGGUCUAUGGGCCACAGGCCGAUGCUGAUAAAUUUGAGUUCAUCUCUGAGCUGAAGGACCUGAAAGCAAGCAUGCUUGCUCCUUGGAUCCUUCUGGGCGAUUUUAACCUCCUUUGUCGGGUCGGCGACAAAAGCAGCGGCACUGUCAACCGCCGGCUGAUUAAUUCUUUUCGAGCGGCGCUCAAUGUACUGGAGGUGGAUGAGUUGCGCCUUCAUGGCCGCAGGUUCACCUGGGCCAGCACCUGUCAUCAGCAAACUCAGACCAAGAUUGAUCACGUCUUCUGCACGACUGAUUGGAGUUUGCUCUUCCCUCAAUGCCACUUGCGAGCUGCCUCAACUUCUAUUUCCGACCAUUGUGCAAUGAUCCUGACCGGCCAAGUCUCCCAGUCAAGCUACAAAGGUUUUCAGUUCGAAAAUUACUGGCUAAAGAUCAGGAACUUCCGCGAGGCUGUCAUAGACUCUUGGCAAGCUCCUGUCACUCACAGCGAUGCUAUGUGGCGUCUCAACUUCAAGCUUUCCAGACUUGCCCGGGCCCUUCGUCGAUGGAGCCGCUCCCGGGUGGGAAACAUUGCCCUGCUCUCCACGAUUGCCGAGCAAGUGAUCUUGGCCCUGGACUUUGCACAGGACGCUAGGGAUCUGACAAUUGCUGAACUUGGCCUGCGGCUUUUCCUCCGUCAAAAGCUUCUUGGACUGGCGGCUGUGCAGCGCAUCCGAAUCAGGCAAAGGUCUCGCAUUCUUUGGCUAAGUCCCAAUCACGCCAAGUCCAAGUUGUUUCACAUCAAAGCCAAUGGCCGCAGAAGACGCAAUUUCAUCCCUAUGCUUGAAACUGACUCUGGGCAGCUCACUCUUCAAUCUGACAAGCAGGCUGAGUUCCUGCGGCACUUCAAGAGCUCGAUUGGCACUGCUCCGGCUAGGCAUCGCUCCUUCAAUUGGGCUUCUUUGGGGAUCCCUUCUGUUGACCUGUCGGCCCUCGAAGGAGAGUUCUCUGAGCCUGAAAUUAAGGUCGCUGUUUUCAAUCUGCCUUCGGGGAAGGCACCUGGACCUGAUGGUUUCACGGCCGAUUUCUUCAAAUCAUGCUGGGACAUUGUAAAGGCUGACCUGAUCGCAACCCUGAAUCAAGUUUUCUCUUUGAGGGCCAAGCGCUGGAAGUUUCUCAAUCAAGCCUUCAUCACCCUGUUGCCGAAAUCUGCUGAUGCAUCCAGAGUGAAGGAUUUCCGGCCCAUUAGCCUCAUACACUCCGUCGCAAAAAUUCUAUGCAAGCUGCUCGCCAACCGUCUCGCGCCCUUCCUGCAGCAGCUGGUGCCCUGCUCCCAGAGUGCUUUUAUCAAGACUCGAAGCAUCCAUGAUAACUUUCUGUAUGUCAAGAAUGCCGUCAGAUCCUUGCACAAAUCAAAGUCUGCUGCUCUACUUCUCAAGCUGGAUAUUGCUGGUGCCUUCGACUCGGUCUCUUGGGGGUACAUGUUCGAGCUCAUGACCGUUAUGGGUUUUGGCCCUCGAUGGCGCAACCUCAUGGCUGUUUUGUGGAGCUCUGCCUCGUCCCGGGUCAUGGUCAACGGGGAGCUCGGGUUGGCUCUCUUCCACAUGCAGGGACUGCGUCAAGGAGAUCCCCUCUCCCCUAUGCUCUUCGCCAUCGCAAUCGCCCCGUUGCACUGGAUCUUUGCCAAAGCCUGCUCUGAAGGUGCUCUGUCUCCUCUUCGUUUGCCGGCCUCUCGUCUUCGUGUGAGCCUGUACGCGGAUGACGCGGCACUCUUCAUCGCUCCAACUGCCGCCGACAUUGCCACGGCACGCGACAUCCUCAGCCUGUUCGGCAUGGCAUCGGGUCUCAGAGCUAAUGUUCAAAAAAGCCUUUUCCUGCCUAUCGCCUGCGAAAGUAUUGACCUCUGCUCCUUGCUUCACAGCUUCACUGUGCCUCUUGGUCAGUUUCCAUGCAAGUACCUAGGCCUGCCUCUGCACUUUAAUAAGAUCACGAGGGCUGACAUUCAACCCACUCUUGAUAAGAUGGCUGCAAGGUUACAGAUAUGGAGGGGCAGGCUGAUGGCUCCGGAUGCCCGUCUCAGCCUGGUCAACUCAGUUCUAUCCGCUAUUCCAAUUCAUUUGCUCACGAUCUUCAAGCUAGACAGUUGGGCCAUCAAGCAGAUGGACAAGCUCAGGAGGAAUUUUCUUUGGCGGUCUAGGCCUAACAGCAGCAAGGGCCUGCCUCUGGUCAAUUGGAGCACCGUGUGCCGCCCCAAGCAUCUUGGUGGUCUUGGCAUCCUUGACAUCAGGAGGUUCAGUAGGGCCUUGCGCCUCCGCUGGAAAUGGUAUGAUUGGACGGAUAAGGCGCGGCCCUGGGCUGGCUCCGAGCUGCCGUGCGAUGAGGAGGACCUGGCCCUCUUCUCGGCAUGCACCACCAUUUCGCUUGGCAAUGGCCUCAAGGCCAGCUUCUGGCAUGACCGCUGGCUUGAGGGUCAGGCCCCUCGCACACUAGCUCCCGACAUCUUCAGGCUAUGUUACCGUAAGAGGAUCUCCGUUCAUGAUGCCGUUGAGAACGACAAGUGGCUGCUGGGGCUGCACCGUAUCUCUCAACAGGCUGAGCUCACCCAAUUCCUCUCCUUGUGGCACCAAGUCCAGCAGGUCACCUUAUCGGCUGGGACCGAGGACUCCAUAUCGUGGCUCUGGAACGACUCCAAACGGUAUUCAGCCGCCUCUGCUUAUCAAUGCCAAUUUGCUGGCUCCUUCACCAACCUGCACUUUGAUAAGCUGUGGUCUGCCAAGGUUGAGCCCAAGUGUCAAUUCUUCAUGUGGCUAUGGCUACGCGGCCGGAUCCUAACCAAUGACAACCUGGCAACCAGAGGAAUCCCCCAGUCUGAAAUGUGCAACCUAUGUGACCAGCAAGAUGAGACUCCCCUUCACCUGAUUCUCCGCUGCCCCUUUGCUCGUGCCGUCUGGUUUCUUGUUGCGGCAGACCUAAAUUUCCCUGCCUUUGUCACGGCGGCCCAGCAGGCAGGCUCCAUUACUUCUUGGUGGGAGGACUUCGCUUGCAGUCUGGGAAAAAGGAAAAAAACUGCAGCUAUUUACACAGCUUGGAACAUCUGGAAGGAAAGAAACAGACGAGUCUUCGAUCAGAAGGUGCUUCAAGAAUCUGCCAUCCUACAGCUCAUUAGGCAGGACAUCUUACAGCCCGCCCUUUCUGUCCACUGGCUUUCUGAUGUGGAAAACAGCCCAGAACCUGAACCUGAUUAA